rnacentral:rRNA from 1 species
AUUGAAGCAAACAUCACCCUGCAGCCCAAGACCGGCUACUCACUGAAGCUAAGCAGGGCUAAGCCUGGUCAGUACCUGGAUGGGAGACCACGUGGGAAAAGUAGAUUGCUGCUAGA